CUCACCUCCCUAAUGUCAUUGAAAAUAUAUCUCCGUUUUCCCCAUUUGAAACAGAAUAUUCAAAAUGAAGCUGCUUUGAAUGUAGAACUUGGCUGGAAAUUGUUUGUACACAUUUGCAGAGCACGUAUAGAGAAUUCAAAAAUGUCAUUAAGUUAGUAGGCUCAGUCUUGUUGCAAGAUCACAGAGUUUAACACACAAUAGUGUCUGAGCAAAUCACAAAGAUAGCCUGAAUGAGAUUUAUCUUAACAGCUGUUCUUUCCUACUCUACACUUGAAGUAGUGACCUUAUAUCUGUUCAUAAUCUCUGAAGAAAAAUAGAAAACAAUCACCUCAUAAAUAAACAGCUAAUUUAAGCCAGAUGACCUGCCCCCUACCUGUUUAGUUCUAGUGACUACAUGGAAAGGGUAACUAGAUCAGAUCUAGAAAAACAUUAUAUACCUGCAAAGAUAUAUGGGAUGAAUGUCACUGUCCUUGACCUUGUCCUCAUGUCCCAGAUAGCUAAAGGUUUUAGCACUCUAUUGAUUGCAGCUGAGCAAAAAGUACCUCAGGCAUCUCUCUUCAGUCUGUUUUGCCACUACUUGUCUUGGGGAUUUUUCAGAGGUGGAAAUAAGCAAAAUUAUACAAACUUUUAUUCACUGGUUUGUUUUGGAAAUGGAAAAGAAAGAACAGUUCGUAAAUGGAUUCCUAUUUUUUCCAGGUAUUUCUCCAUUCCUAAUGAGCUGGAGUGCAUAAUAAGAGUGAGUGUUUUAACACGGUGCAGAGGAACAGUGACAAACCUCUCUAUUCACAGAACUCUCCAAAAUGGAAAGCAACUGGAAAUAACCUGUGCAAUUUCACGCUCAGUGGAGGGCCGAUGUUGAUCAGGUUGCUCAUGUCCUGUUUGAUUAGGGAUGGAAAUUUCACGUCCUCUGAAGAAAAACAAGAACAGGAAGCAUGAGAGAUACUGGAGAUAGUUAAAACCAUCUGGACAUGGUCCUGGGUAACUGGCCACCUGGUCUAGGUGUUUCUGCUUGAGCAGAGGCUUGGAGCAGGUGACCUUCAGAUAACAGAAUCACAGAAUCACAGAACUGUAGGGGUUGGAAGGGACCUCUAGAGAUCAUCGAGAC